rnacentral:tRNA from 1 species
GCCCCUGUAGCUCAAAGGAUAGAGCGCCAGUGUUACGACCAGGGAGGUUGUGGGUUCAAGUCCCAUCAGGGGCG